UCUGGUUCAUACCCGACUGGGACCUGGAUGGUGUCGGGGUCAAUGGGACUCGGUGUGUUUCGGUUUGCUGGCAACAGCUGGCCUGGAAAACACACAGGAGUUUUAACAUGCCAACUCUAAGGCAACCCAGGGCUAGUUCCAGCUCGAUUCAAAUGCUUCUAAUUCCCACUUCUUCUUCCUCGGGACGAGCUUUAAUCUCACCGCAUCAGCAUCUGCAUCAGCAACACGAGGUGGAAUGAGGUGAGGUGGGUAAUCCCACCGUCCAGACGUCAGUGGAAGAUGCUGUGGAAACCUCACACCAUAAAACCCCAAAGGGUCACAGUCUCAGAGUUAGGGAUUUCUACCCUUAUUGUGUUGGCAGUUGUUUUUCAAAUCAUAAAUAAGAACAUUUAAUUUCCUC